CACAUACACCUCGCACUAAGGGCAUCAUACAACAUUUUGAAAGGAAAGUGAAGCUGCACACAGAGGGACUUGAUAACGACUUGCAGGUGACAAAUGAAAAGCUGGGGCAGUUGGAGACUACGCAGAUUGCCACAAACAACAAGCUCACACGUUUGGAGGAAUCCGUUGCUAGUGUGGACAAAAGCCUUGCUGCUCUCCUAAGGCGAUUUGAUGAUUUCCACACCGAAGAUAAAGAGAAGCAUAAAGAAGAAAAGGAGGGAGAUCGAGAGCACGGUAGUCAUGAAGAUGACUACACUGGUGAUACUGAACAUGCUGAUCAAGACACUCGUGAUCGACGUCGCCUUCGUCACAACCGUAGAGGUAUGGGUGGCAACCGCCGACGCGAGGUGCACAAUAAUGAUGAUGCUUUCAGUAAGAUUAAAUUUAAGAUACCUCCUUUUGAUGGUAAAUAUGACCC
rnacentral:lncRNA from 1 species